rnacentral:rRNA from 1 species
CCUACGGGUGGCUGCAGUGGGGGAUAUUGCACAAUGGGGGAAACCCUGAUGCAGCAACGCCGCGUGAGUGAAGAAGUAUUUCGGUAUGUAAAGCUCUAUCAGCAGGGAAGAGAAUGACGGUAUCUGACUAAGAAGCCCCGGCUAACUUCGUGCCAGCUGCCGCGGUAAUACGUAGGGGGCGAGCGUUAUCCGGAUUUACUGGGUGUAAAGGGAGCGUAGACGGUUGGUCAAGUCUGAAGUGAAAGCCUGGGGCUUAACCCCGGAACGGCGUUGGAAACUGAGCAGCUAGAGUGAUGGAGAGGUAAGCGGAAUGCCUAGUGUAGCGGUGAAAUGCGUAGAUAUUAGGAGGAACACCAGUGGCGAAGGCGGCUUACUGGACAGUAACUGACGUUGAGGCUCGAAAGCGUGGGGAGCAAACAGGAUUAGAUACCCGGGUAGUC